AGAGGGUGAGACUCCCGUUCGCCUGGUAGAGUGAGCCAUUUGUCGGCGAGUCGGGUUGUUUGGGAAUGCAGCUCUAAUUUGGUGGUAUAUUCCAUCUAAAGCUAAAUAUUGGUGGGAGACCGAUAGCGUACAAGUACCGUGAGGGAAAGAUGCAAAGAACUUUGAAAAGAGAGUUAAAGAGUACCUGAAAUUGCUGAAACGGAAGCGAAGGAAACCAGUGUUUGUUUGUUCAUAUUUCCCUGGCCACUUGUGGUUUGGGCGCUGUGGGCUUGCGUGGGUUUACUUUGGUUGAUCCCUUUGGAAGAGCGCAGUCAGAGUUGAUGUCU
rnacentral:rRNA from 1 species